UGUGGGCUCCUGGGGCAGCUCCUCUGGGCUGGUGCAAGGCUGAAUAACAGGGCUAAAACUUGGAUUGGGUGUUUAGAUGCCAUUGCUCUGGGCUUCACUGUUUUUUGGUGUCAUGCAGCUGACAGGUCUACUGGUGGAGCUGAUGGUCACAGCCAGGGUGGAAAUUCUUCAUUAAACAAAAGAGAGUAAAAUAAUCAAGGAAGGUUGGAGCUGUUUGCAAGAUCUAUUGAGUUGAUUGCUCGCCCUGUCAAAAAAAGUCAUCAUUUGGGACAACAGCCCGCUGCCAGCGGCUGCCAUGGCUAGCAAAAGAAAGUCAACAACUCCCUGUAUGGUGCGAACUUCUGAAGUCAUGGAGCAGGAAGGCGCCGAGGGCGUAGAAGCUCCUAAAGAGAAGGGGGCUGGCGCACCGCAGCAGGACUCAAAAAAAAAUUGGCCUUCCGAAAGCUCAGUCAAAGACUGCGAAGUGGUUGAGGCAAAGCCCCCAGCUGAAAAUCAGUCUAAGAAACCCCAGGGUGGUUAUGAGUGUAAAUACUGCCCUUACUCAACACAAAACUUAAAUGAAUUUACAGAGCAUGUUGACACUCAGCAUCCAAAUGUCAUUCUCAACCCCCUGUAUGUCUGUGCUGAAUGCAACUUCACAACCAAAAAAUACGAUUCUUUAUCUGACCACAACACAAAAUACCACCCGGGAGAGACUAACUUUAAACUGAAAUUAAUUAAACGCAAUAAUCAGACUGUUUUAGAGCAGUCCAUUGAGACCACCGCUAACGAUGUCACUGUCACAAGCGGUGGGCUAGAAAAUGCAGAGUGUGAUGAUUCGCUUCAUGGGGGAAUUAGUGCGAGUAAAACGCCAAUGAUGAAACUGGGAAAGCCUAAAGGGGAAACCAAGAAGGGUCCCAAAAAGCCAGAAGAGGGAGUUACAGAAAACCACGUGGAUGGCACUGUCCCCCGCAUCAUAACUGAAGCCACUGAAGCUAUUGCUUGUAUAAAUGGAGACCUUCUCCAUGAUGUGUUAGCCCAUGUUAUGCCCUCUGUACAGCUGCCACCAAAUAUUAACCUUGUCCCCAAGGUCCCAGUACCUCUGAAUAGCACCAAAUACAACUCUGCACUGGACACUAAUGCAACCAUGAUCAACUCCUUUAAUAAAUUUCCUUACCCAACGCAAGCAGAGUUGUCGUGGUUGACAGCAGCAUCAAAACAUCCGGAAGAACAAAUCCGAAUCUGGUUUGCUACGCAACGUUUGAAGCAUGGUAUAAGUUGGUCUCCUGAAGAAGUAGAGGAGGCGAGAAAGAAGAUGUUCAAUGGUACUAUCCAGGCAGUUCCCCAAACCAUCACCGUCCUGCCAGCUCCUUUGACAACUGCAAAAAUGCCCCAGCCCAUCAUCCAGACAGCUUUGCCCUGUCAGAUACUGGGCCAGACCGGUCUGGUUUUGACUCCCGUGUCAAACGGUUCAACUGUUUCCUGUUCACCAAUUACACUUGCUGUUGCCCCGAACCAGGGGCAAAAGAGGACGAUACAGACCUUAUCAAGUGCCCCGGAGGCUAAGCGUCCUCACGUAGUUCAGGUGCCUGAGCUUCCUGCCAAGUUGACUGCUGUACCACUGACACCAGCCAGUGAGCGAAAAAAGACGAAGGAGCAGAUAGCAGAGCUGAAGGCCAGUUUCAUGGCAAGCCAGUUUCCCGACGAUGCAGAAGUCUACCGGCUGAUAGAGGCGACGGGUCUCUCCAGGAGCGAGAUCAAGAAGUGGUUCAGUGACCACAGGUACAGAAGUCAAAGGGGCAUUGUGCACAUCCCUGGCGAUGCUUUAGGGAAAGAUCAAAUAGCACCUUCAGCUGGUCGACACGGCCGUUCAUUUCACCCAUACACAGAUUUUACUCCCCAGAGAUUCAAAGAGAAAACCCAAGAGCAGCUUAGAGCCCUUGAGGAGAGUUUCCUAAGAUGCUCUUUUCCUACCCAAGGAGAGUUGGACAGGCUUCGAGUGGAGACUAAGCUGAGUAGGAGGGAGAUAGAUUCAUGGUUCUCAGAGCGGAGAAAGAUAAGGGACAGCAUGGAGCAAGCUGUCUUGGACUCAAUGGGAUCAUACAAAAAAAUUAAAGAACAAGGAACUCCCAACGGUGCAAUAAGCCAGGCAGAACUGCUAAGUAGCUCUCAGCUCCCUGGUGCUUUAUCUGGGUCCUCCACCACAUUUAAGAAAACCCAAGAGCAGAUUCAUUUACUGAAAAGCACAUUUGCAAGGACCCAGUGGCCAUCACCCCAGGAGUAUGACCAGUUAGCAUCUCAGACUGGGCUCACAAGAACUGAAAUAGUUCGCUGGUUCAAGGAAAACCGAUCUUCACUAAGAACGGGGUCGCUUAAAUGGAUUGACCAGUACCAGCAGCAGUACGUUGUUGAUGGUCAUAAUGAGCAAAGCCAGAAAAAGGGAUCAAAACACAUCGAGAGUCCAAAGAAUGGUAACGAGGUGUCUCGGCAGCAUUACCAGGAGCAUAAAAAACUGAAUGAAGAGAAUGCGGGGAAACUAGUGGUGAGAACAAAAAGAGACUGCGAACCACUGAAAGACUCUUUGUUGGGGAAUCAAGCGGAGAGUACAGAUAGGUUGGAGUGCAACAGCCACGACGGCCACGGCAGCGAGGAGAACGAGGAGCCAGCAGAGGUCAACUGGGUGGAGGUGACGGUGGGUGAGGAUGACGCUGCAUCGGACUGUACGGACAGCUGGAGCCAAACGGCACCCGAAGGCCAGGCAGAGCUGGCGGACUUUGACUCUGAAAGUAUAUCUGGAGACAAUUCCCACGUAUAGACAGGUAAUGCUGAUGGUGCCCUGUUUCUCUGAGCCUGCCUCUGUCUGGGUGUGCUUCCAGCAUCCUGUAGCCCCUCUUCAGUGUAAAUCCCUGGAGCCCAUCCCUGCCGGAUCCUUGUGCCUGCUGGAUGCCUGAACAAAAGGGAGACCCAUCCUGCUUGUAAAUUAAAGGAACUGCAUGGGGUACUCCUCAGCUGCACUGUCCUGACAUUGAAGGGGAAAUGCUGUCUGAAAAUAGAAGAAAACUCUAUUUUCCUGCCUGGGGUGAGAUAGCGUGUUGCGACUCCAAGUCUCAAACUGCUCUUGCGGAGGCACAGUGAGAAAUACUCUCGUGGAGCAUCAUCAUGGGAUCGUUUAUAGUGCCAAAGUCCUACUACUGCAUUAAAAGAGAAAAGAAAGAAAGAAAGAGAAAAGGGUCCUUGUACAUAGGUUUCUCCUUAGCUUCUCUCCCACCCACUUUCCUGCCCGGCCUCUUCCUCUACUGGAACAGAUUUGUACAACGUGGAAAUUUUGUUAACUUUUUAAUAGGUGCAAGUUAUUCUUGCAUAUAAUGCCAUUGCAAAAUUUGGGGGUUGGU